UCCACAGUCCCUGAGUGCCUGAGUCAUGU
rnacentral:piRNA from 1 species